ensembl:lncRNA novel transcript
AAGGCAUUGUCCUCUGCAGACACCCAGGCUGCAGACUUCAAGGACUGGAAGAAGAGCUUUGCGUCUUCUCUCUUCUCUAUACAGACACAAUCUGUAGCAGCAAAUGUGUUACAGAUGGACAGAAGCUGGGCUAUUAGGGGCCUACAGUGCAUCAGGCAUGGAUCCAUGUUAGAAAAUUGUCCCAAGGAUAACCAGGACCUGCUGGAGCACAGUGAAAUUUGGUGCCGUGACUCGGAUCGGGGGACCCCCCUUGGGAGAUCAAUCCACUGUCCUCCUGCUCUUUGCUCCGUGAGAAAGAUUCACCUACGACCUCAGGUCCUCAGAACGACCAGCCCAAGAAACAUCUCACCAAUUUCAAAUCUGGUUGCAUGUAGAGAUGAACCCCCAGUGGAUUCCUGUGAUGUCCUUUGCAGCAGUGUCAACAGUGAAGUCCCAGAUGACACGACUGGCAAGGAUCUGAGGAACAUGGAUGAAGCUGGAAACCAUCAUUCUCAGCAAACUAACAGAGGAACAGAAAAGCAAACACCGUAUGUUCUCACUCAUGAUUGGGAGUUGAACAAUGAGAACACAUGGACACAGGGAGGGGAAUAUUACACACCGGGGCCUAUCAGAGCGUGGGAGGCUACGAGAGGGAUAGCAUUAGGAGAAAUACCUAAUGUAGAUGACGGGUUGAUGGGUGCAGCAAACCACCAUGGCUCAUGUAUACCCAUGUAACAGACCUACACAUUCUGCACAUGUAUCCCAGAACUUAAAGUAUGAUUUAAAAAUAUAUAUAGAGAGAGAGAUAUAUAAAUUGCUGAGAGUGGAUUUUAAGUGUUCUCACCACACAACAAAAUAAGUAUGUGAAGUAAACAUAUAUUAGUUAGCUUGAUUUAGCCAUUUCACACUAUAUAAAUAUUUCAAAACAACAUGUUGCACACUAUAGACAAUUUUUAUUGGUCAACUAAAAAUAAAAUUUUUAAAGGGAGAAAAUAAGAGAGAAUUGGCAUCAGGGUUGCAAAGGAAUGAAUAAAUACAUGGGCCAUGAAAAACUGAUCAAUAUAAGGGUUUGAGAGGAAGGUGAACAGUUUGCAAAGUUGUAACUUUGAAAGAUCUCCCUUAUUAAUUUAUUUGCUCGUUUAAAAGAGUCAGGGUACAAUGGAAUAUUCAACUUAAUCUAGAAGAGGUAGAGUGGACUGAAAUUAAUUUCCCUCUAACAUGCAUUUGUUGCUCUAAUCAACUAUCUAGAGCUACACAAAAUACAUACGAUUUUCUAAAAUUAUUUAAAUUCUUGAAGGUAAAUGCCAUUUCUUCUCUUAUAGAUGAUAGACCUUCAGACUUUCACAUGACUCUUUAUAAAUAGUCCCCAUGCUCAAAACGACAAACACCACUCUCUUAGAUUUCAACUUAGCAAGGCAUCCCAAACUAAACUUCACAUCCAAGGGAGAAGGCAAAUGAAGGAGAGUAAUGACCAGCUAUUUGUUUGAGACAAUAGGUACAUUCAUCAGAUUACCUCCAAACAUCAGCCAAGGGAUUUUAGUUUGGAACAAAGAUAGUUGGAAUAUUAAUUAUUUUCAAAUGGUGGAAGAGCUGCCAUAGAGAAUUAGAGAAAAUUUUAAACUAGAAGUUUGCAAAAAAUAUAUUCAAAUAAUAGCUUUGUUUUUAUUCUAAAAUGUGACCUUGGCUAAGCCACAUAAUCUCUCUGGGUCUCUGUAUGUGGGAGCUACUGAUAAUACCUGUAUCUCUGUUUCAGGUGAUGAUCAAAAUGCCUAUUUUGUGAUUUGUGAAAUGAAAUGUGCUGUAGGCAUGUAAGGUGAUUUUUACAAAUAAUUAUUUUCUUGUUGUUUUUGAAGUUCCAGAGUACAGGAAAGGAAACAGGAAAAACAUAACUGAGGAAUAGUUGUUAGGUCGGUGAGACAUUGAACCUUCUAA